UCCAAAAGGCAAAAGUCAAGGGUGAGGAAU
rnacentral:piRNA from 1 species